UUAAUUAAAACCAAAAAGAGGUAAAUUAUUGUUAAUAAUUUCAUUGAAAAAUUUCUAAUUAAA
rnacentral:tRNA from 1 species